AGGACGAACGCUGGCGGCGUGCUUAACACAUGCAAGUCGAACGGAAAGGCCCGCUUGCGGGUACUCGAGUGGCGAACGGGUGAGUAACACGUGGGCAACCUGCCCUCAGCUUCGGGAUAACACUUGGAAACAGGUGCUAAUACCGGAUAAUAACCUUUCAUCGCAUGGUGUGGGGUUCAAAGUUUUUCGGCUGGGGAUGGGCCCGCGGCCUAUCAGCUUGUUGGUGGGGUAAUGGCCUACCAAGGCGACGACGGGUAGCCGGCCUGAGAGGGCGACCGGCCACACUGGGACUGAGACACGGCCCAGACUCCUACGGGAGGCAGCAGUGGGAAUAUUGCGCAAUGGGCGGAAGCCUGACGCAGCGACGCCGCGUGAGGGAUGACGGCCUUCGGGUUGUAAACCGUCUUUCAGCUCUGACGAAGCGCAAGUGACGGUAGGAGCAGAAGAAGCACCGGCCAACUACGCGCCAGCAGCCGC
rnacentral:rRNA from 1 species